rnacentral:rRNA from 1 species
UGGGUUAAGUCCCGCAACGAGCGCAACCCUUGUCUUUAGUUGCCAUCAUUAAGUUGGGCACUCUAGAGAGACUGCCAGGGAUAACCUGGAGGAAGGUGGGGAUGACGUCAAAUCAUCAUGCCCCUUAUGCUUAGGGCUACACACGUGCUACAAUGGGUAGUACAGGGGGUUGCCAAGCCGUAAGGUGGAGCUAAUCCCUUAAAGCUACUCUCAGUUCGGAUUGUAGGCUGAAACUCGCCUACAUGAAGCUGGAGUUACUAGUAAUC